UCCUCGAUGGCUCAUUCGGUUAGAGCGUGUGCCACGUAAGCACGAGAUCCCGGGUUCGAAUCCCAGUCGGGGCA